rnacentral:rRNA from 1 species
AUUGAACGCUGGCGGCAUGCCUUACACAUGCAAGUCGAACGGCAGCGGACCUUCGGGUGCCGGCGAGUGGCGAACGGGUGAGUAAUAUAUCGGAACGUACCUUUCAGUGGGGGAUAACGUAGCGAGAGUUACGCUAAUACCGCAUAUUCUGUGUGCAGGAAAGCAGGGGAUCGCAAGACCUUGCGCUGAUUGAGCGGCCGAUAUCAGAUUUAGCUAGUUGGUGAGGUAAAGGCUCACCAAGGCGACGAUCUGUAGCGGGUCUGAGAGGAUGAUCCGCCACACUGGAACUGAGACACGGUCCAGACUCCCUACGGGAGGCAGCAGUGGGGAAUUUUUGGACAAUGGGCGCAAGCCCUGAUCCAGCCAUGCCGCGUGAGUGAAGAAGGCCUCGGUUG